GAUAACACCAAACAGGGACAGAUGACAUCAAACCACCUCUGACACUGAAUUGAAGAAAACAAAAUGGCAGAACUAACUGACCGCUACACACAGGUUAGCUUCUCCAGGUCCUGGAAUGAACAAUUAACAAAUCUGAUGAAAUGUGUGCACUUCCUCAGGAUGCAAUUACAUUCCAAAUUGGAGGGGAUGUGUACCAAUAAUACCCUGGAGAAAUUAGUGCAUUACCUGAGAGUCUUCAGGAAAUAAGGAGGAUGAAGAUGAGCUAUUGAAUUCUUACAUUUGGAAAUAUAACAUCUGUACAGAAGAAUCAAUUACUGAUUGCACAUAUUUUCUAUGUUGGGCUACAUGACUUCUUAAAGUGUUUGUUAUCAAAAUAUGCAUUUAAUUUUACUAUUUAUAAGAAGCUAGCGUGGACAUUUGUCCUCUAUUCAAUCAUAAAGACAGUAUUUUACAGUUGAUUGAUGCACUGACAGAAUUACACAAGCUGUACAUUUUUAAGAAACAACAAAUAGAAAAAAUAUAAACUUAGAAUUAAAGUGGAUCUUGCUUCUGGAUGAUCUACAAUUAAAUCCAAGUAAAUUCUUUCAGUUCUCUCUCCUCCAACAAACAGAUUUAUUUACUUCUCAGUGUAAGAUGAGGAAAUGUGAUUACUUACCUUAGAAUAUCAGUAUUAUAUUUCAUGUGCCUUUUCUCAUCAGAAGUGAUCUGAUAAAUAGAUUAAAACCUGGUGGCUGAUAGAUUACCUUUAUGAUUGUUUAGUAUUUACGGUGUGAGAAAGACCAGACCAGAUUAUGUCUCCUUCAAUUUAGAAAUGAGUUAGCCCAAGAACUUAGUCUUUAUCUGUUUCUGUUGCAUACUUUCUGUUGUUGUGCCAAUUCAUUUUGAGAUUGUUACCUCAAACCUUUCAUUACUGUACCUAUCUCAUACUCAUAUUUAAUUUCUCUGGCAUGUUGUUCAUUAGAUGACUUCUUUCACUUUCCCCCUUUAACUGACAUUUUCUUUAUUAUACAAGUUUGCAUGAUGAUUUUUAUAACACUCAAAUUGAUAUCUCUGAAUAAACCAUCUUAAUUUGGAUGCUUAUGCACAAUUUGCAAGCAUAUAUUGUGAAUCGUAAUACAUGCAUUUAUUACUAUGUUAUGUAUGUUACAUAAUACAAUAUACACAGUAUCCUAUCAUUUCCUUUGCAAUGGCGGUUACUGAUCUUCAAAAGAUAUUAAGCCGUAAAGCAUUUUGAUGAAAUUGGCUUCAGUAUAUUAGUUAUCAAUAAAUAUAAAGGUAAGUAUAUCAUCAUAUCCAAAAAUUGUCUAUUAGGCUCAAUUUUGAA